rnacentral:rRNA from 1 species
GACGAACCGUGCGAACGUUGUUCGGAAUCACUGGGCUUAAAGGGCGCGUAGGCGGGCUGCCAAGUCUGGGGUGAAAUCCCACGGCUCAACCGUGGAACUGCCUCGGAUACUGGUGGUCUCGAGGGGGGUAGGGGCUUGCGGAACUAUGCGUGGAGCGGUGAAAUGCGUUGAUAUGCAUAGGAACUCCGGUGGCGAAGGCGGCGAGCUGGACCCCAUCUGACGCUGAGGCGCGAAAGCCAGGGGAGCGAACGGG